CCUACGGGAGGCAGCAGUAGGGAAUAUUGCUCAAUGGGGGAAACCCUGAAGCAGCAACGCCGCGUGGAGGAUGAAGGUUUUCGGAUUGUAAACUCCUUUUGUUAGAGAAGAUAAUGUCGGUAUGUAACGUAUAAGCACCGGCUAACUCCGUGCCAGCAGCCGUGGUAAUACGGAGGGUGCAAGCGUUACUCGGAAUCUCUGGGCGUAAAGGGCGCGUAGGCGGGUGAGCAAGUCAGAUGUGAAAUCCUAUGGUUUAACCAUAGAACUGCAUUUGAAACUGUUAUUCUAGAGUAUGGGAGAGGUAGGUGGAAUUCGUGGUGUAGGGGUAAAAUCCGUAGAGAUCAAGAAGAAUACUCAUUGCGAAGGCGACCUGCUAGAACAUAACUGACGCUGAUGCACGAAAGCGUGGGGAGCAAACAGGAUUAGAUACCCCUGUAGUC
rnacentral:rRNA from 1 species